GCUGAAGACUCAUGGUAGCAUGUGACCCAACGAGGAACAUUUAUUUUUCCAACCUCUGGCAACAUGGUGUUGGUUAGCACACACAGAAACUGAUGUCUACACGUAUUGGCCUAAGAUCGACAAAUCAUUGCAGACUCUUUGCUGUUAACACUCCUUGUUUUGCAACGGGAAGGGGAGGCUGGACCAUAAAAGCUGGUGACUAAGACGAAGGAAAUCCUGUCUGAACUAAGAUUGUCUUGGUGGGAGCUGGGGGAGCCUUGUAACCCGGUAGGAAUCAGCAGGAAGCGAAGGUGGUUUUGAGAUAGGAAGGAGAGGAUCUCAGCGGAAUCUGGCGCUACAUUGUAACUUGCACGGUUGUUACAGUUGGGAGAUGACCAAGUAAGGAAGAAAGGGAAGGGGGUGGUUUUCCUCCCUGGAAUUCCCAACUGGAACCUUUCACCCACUGGUCUUCCUCACCUGGGCCAGAAGGAAACAGGUUGUCUGUGUGUCUUGCCCAUCCUGACCAUGGAGCCACGGCCGACCCCGAGGACCACCAAGGCCCUGCUCAGAAUCCAAUCCAGGAUACCAACCACACUGCACUUAGAGGGGCAGGAUUUACAAAAGAACUCAAGACUUCAAGAGGCAGCCUCACUCAUGGGGCAGAGAAGCUUCUCACAUCCUGAAGAUAAAAUGCCUACUGCAGCAUAUUUAUUUUUAAGUCACAUCCUGCAGCAGCACACAUGCUUACCUGGAAAAGUAUUUCCAUCCCAGUGUCACAAUUGGGAAGGGUGGGGGCCAGCUCACCACACAGGGGAGCACCUACAGCGGGUGUGGGUGCCCUGACCACCUGGAGCACCCCAGCAUGGAUACCAUACAACACAAUGUUCCACCUUCCCCAAGUCCCAGAGUCAAGUGAUCCCAUACAACACAACAUUCCACCUUCCCCAUGUCCCAGAGUCAAGUGAUCCCAUACAACACAACGUUUCACCUUUCCCCAUGUCCUAGAGCCAGGUGAUCCCAUACAGCACAACGUCUCAUGUCUCCAUGUCCCAGAGCCAAGGAGUUAAGUGACUUGACCUGGGGUCACACAGCCAGUUAGUAGGGCUUUGUGUAGUCAGUGGCCCCAGAG
rnacentral:lncRNA from 1 species